rnacentral:rRNA from 1 species
GACGAACGCUGGCGGCGUGCUUAACACAUGCAAGUCGAACGGAAAGGCCCUGCUUUUGUGGGGUGCUCGAGUGGCGAACGGGUGAGUAACACGUGAGUAACCUGCCCUUGACUUUGGGAUAACUUCAGGAAACUGGGGCUAAUACCGGAUAGGAGCUCCUGCUGCAUGGUGGGGGUUGGAAAGUUUCGGCGGUUGGGGAUGGACUCGCGGCUUAUCAGCUUGUUGGUGGGGUAGUGGAUUACCAAGGCUUUGACGGGUAGCCGGCCUGAGAGGGUGACCGGCCACAGUGGGACUGAGAUGCGGCCAAGACUCAUACGGGAGGCAGGGGUGGGGAAUAGUGCAAAAUGGGCGGAGGCCUGAUGCAGCAACGCCGCGUGCGGGAUGACGGCCUUCGGGUGGUAAACCGCUUUCGCCUGUGACGAAGCGUGAGUGACGGUAAUGGGGAAAGAAGCACCGGCUAACUACGU